AUCCCAUGAUAAGGACACUUACGAAGUAAUUCCUUAAAUCUUUCCCAAGCCUCGUACAAAGACUCGUCAUCCAAUUGCUAGAAAGUUGUUAUCUUAUUAUGCAAUU
rnacentral:snoRNA from 1 species